ensembl:misc_RNA Metazoa_SRP Metazoan signal recognition particle RNA
GCUGGGCGUGGUGGUGCACGCCUGUAAUCCCAGCUACUUGGGAGGCUGAGGCAGGAGAAUCGCUUGAAUCCAGGAGGCAGGGGUUUGCAGUGAGCCAAGAUCACGCCACUGCACUCCAGCCUGGGUAACAGAGUGAGACACCCUCUCAA